UUGAACGCUGGCGGCAUGCUUUACACAUGCAAGUCGAACGGUAACAGGUUAAGCUGACGAGUGGCGAACGGGUGAGUAAUGCAUCGGAACGUGCCCGAUCGUGGGGGAUAACGCAGCGAAAGCUGCGCUAAUACCGCAUACGAUCUGAGGAUGAAAGCGGGGGACCGUAAGGCCUCGCGCGAUCGGAGCGGCCGAUGUCAGAUUAGGUAGUUGGUGGGGUAAAGGCUCACCAAGCCGACGAUCUGUAGCUGGUCUGAGAGGACGACCAGCCACACUGGGACUGAGACACGGCCCAGACUCCUACGGGAGGCAGCAGUGGGGAAUUUUGGACAAUGGGGGCAACCCUGAUCCAGCAAUGCCGCGUGAGUGAAGAAGGCCUUCGGGUUGUAAAGCUCUUUUGUCAGGGAAGAAACGGUGUUGGCUAAUACCCGGCACUAAUGACGGUACCUGAAGAAUAAGCACCGGCUAACUACGU
rnacentral:rRNA from 1 species